rnacentral:lncRNA from 1 species
CAAAGGCAGCAUAUAUAGGCACGCAGUAUGAAGAUGUCCUGUAUACUUGAGACAAAUUAAAUUAAGAUGAUUAGUUGAUUAUGAUAUUAUGAUCAGGUUGGCAGCAUCAAUGUUUACUGAAUAACCAGUACAAAAUUGGCAGUAUUCACUUUCUAUUUAAUAAAACCAAUACGGUUUUUUUCUCUAAUAGUGACUGGACACUUCGAGAACUAGUGUAAUUAAAACACUUUUUUGUUUCAUAUCUCUCGAGUGCAAUUUUAUUGAAAUCACAGUUAUUAUCAUGUGAAUUUGAUUGCUUGACAUCAAUUAUCAAUAUGAGAUAUCUGUCUUCUUUUCUUCUAGUUAAAAAAUCCGACCGGUUGAUGUAACAGGCAAAAUAUGUGUUCGUGUUUGUUAUCAAGUUAUUGGUUUGAUUUUGAAUUUGUUGCACCAUAACUUGUUGGUAGUUUUUUUUUUUUCGACAAGCCAUCUUGUUGGAGUUGUUGCUCGUCCAACUACUUCUAGAUCGAUAAUAGAAAAAAAAACAAAAAAUAGCUGAUAGUCGCAUAUUUGUGCGACUUUUAUCAUGCUAAUUAUUCUUAUUACUUAUUUAUUUUGUGAUGUUUUCCUAUUUUUAAUUAACUUUAUUUGUUUUUAGGUGUUUUGAAGUCAAACAAAGAAAAUGAGAUAAUUGGGCUUAAUUAGGAUCCCUAAUCCUAGUUGGAUUGGUGAUGGACGUGAGAUAUAGGUUAACUAACCUAUUUAUACAAGGGGGCAGCCAAACAAGAGGAAGAAGAGAAGAACUAGAGAGAAAAAGAAAAGAAAGGUAGGGAAGAAAAAGAGAGAGGCCGAACCAGGGGAGAAGAAAAGAAAGAGAGAGAAAGAGAAGAAAGAAAAGAGAGGAAAAAGAACUCGAUCGGCAAAGAUCUUCUUCAAUCAAGUUUUCUUCUUCUCACCCUUAUUUCAUCUUCCAUGUAUUCUCUGAUGUUCUUAAUCAAGAUUAUGUGUAACUAAACUCCU